rnacentral:rRNA from 1 species
UACGAAGGGGGCUAGCGUUGCUCGGAAUCACUGGGCGUAAAGGGUGCGUAGGCGGGUCUUUAAGUCAGAGGUGAAAUCCUGGAGCUCAACUCCAGAACUGCCUUUGAUACUGAGGAUCUUGAGUUCGGGAGAGGUGAGUGGAACUGCGAGUGUAGAGGUGAAAUUCGUAGAUAUUCGCAAGAACACCAGUGGCGAAGGCGGCUCACUGGCCCGAUACUGACGCUGAGGCACGAAAGCGUGGGAG